rnacentral:lncRNA from 1 species
AUGGGGUUUGGGGUUACUGGGAGUGACUGGUUUGGGUUUUUUGUUACUGGUUUGGGGUUUCUCCUUACUGGGAUUUACUGGUUUGGCGUCAGGGCUUACUGGGAUGGACUGGGAGUGAGUUUGGGGUCACUGGGAUGGGGUUUGGGGUUACUGGGAGUUACUGGGAUGAACUGGGAUGGACUGGGACUUACUGGUCUGGGGUCAGGGCUUACUGGGGGGUUCCUAUACAGGUCUAUACUGGUCUGUACCUGUCUAUACUGGUCUAUACUGGUCUAUACUGGUCUAUACUGGUCCGAACUGGUGCAUUACCUGCAAUGGGCUCUGCAGACAAUCCUCGUACCCCCUGGCAUACAGCUCGUAGGCCGAGGGGUUUGGUUACUGGUUUGGGGUUUGUGUUACUGGGAGUUACUGGGAUGGGGUCAGGGCUUACUGGGAGUUACUGGGAUGGACUGGGAUGAACUGGGAUGGACUGGGAUGAACUGGGAGUUACUGGUUUGGGGUUUUUUGUUACUGGGAGUUACUGGUUUGGGGUNAAAAUUCACCCCAAAAUUCCAAAAAUUUCCCAAAAAUUUCCUAAAAAUUCACCCCAAAAUUCCCGGAAUUCGCCCCAAAAUCCGCAAUGGAAAUUCCCAAAAAUUCACCCAGAAAUUCCCCAAAUUUCAGCCAAAGUUCCCCAAAAAAAUUCCCAAAAAAUCACCCAAAAUUCCCCAAAAAUUUCCAAAAAUUUACAUAAAAUUCCCCAAACAAUUCCCAAAAUCUUCACCCAGAAAUUCACAAAACUUCACCCAAAAAUUCACCCAAAAUUUCACCCAAAAUUCCAAAAAAAAUUCCCAAAAAUUCACCCCAAAAUUCACUCAAAAAUUCCCAAAAAGUUCCCAAAAAUUCACCCAAAUUUCACCAAAAAUUUACCCAGAAAUUCCGAAAAAUUCACCCAGAAAUUCCAUAAAAUUCACCCAAAAAAUUCAAAAAAAAAUUCACCCAAAAUUCCCCCAAAAAAAUACCCAAAAAUUCCCCCAAAAUUCCCAAAAAAAAUUCCCAAAAAUUCACCCCAAAAUCCCCGGAAUUUGCCCCAAAAUCCAGAAUGGAAAUGGGAAAGAUUCACCCAAAACUUACCCAGAAAUUCCCAAAAUUUCACCCAAAAAUUCCCCCAAAAAUUCCCAAAAAUUCACCAGGAAUUCACCCAAAAAUCCCCAAAACAUUCCCCAAAAUUCACCCAAAAGAUCCCAAAAAAUUCCCCCAAAAUUCCCCAGAAAAUUCCCAAAAAUUCACCCGGAAAUUCCCCAAAAUUCCCCCAAAAUUGAACAAAUUCCCCCAAAAUGA